ACUUCAGUACACGGGAGUCCCCAGGCAGUCCGAAUCUGCGGGGCUGAGAGUGGGCACAGCCAGAGUGACUGAACCUACCCUUACCCUCCCACACCUGAUCCGGGUCAUGCCGGCGAAGGGAGGUUCAAGAUGCCGUCAG
rnacentral:ncRNA from 15 species